AAUCUGAGAUGUGUCAUCUCGGUGCUGAGGAAUGUGCAUUGGAGGCAGUGCUGGAGGUGACACUGUUGCUCAAGUAUGGCUGGUUAUGGUUAUGAAGCAGGCUGCGCCUGCUUCAUCCGUGGACAGAUGCUCACUCUGCCUGCCCCAACUCUUCUUGCUGCCACAGUUCUCCCUUUGGCUCUGCCAGCAGAAGAUGUCACUGUUCUCAAACCUGCACCCUUCCGAAAACAAGAGAUCUCUGGCCAUCUUCUGAGCCAUACUGAAAAGAAAUCUUUGUUUGUUUAUGAAGUUUCUGGAAGGCUCAGAUUUGUUUUCCUCCCUCCUGCAUCCUGCCAACACUGGAAGUGCCAAAACAUAAAAGAGAGGCAUUUCUCUUGGAGUUGCCAGCUACGGUUGGAAGGAGAAGUGCCAGAAAUCUCAGGAUAAAUCUGCUCCUGAUCUUUCCAGCACAGUCUUACAGAUUGGAGGGAUUUGGAGAGUUCAGCAAAGCAUCUGGGCUGCUGGAUGCCAACAUGGCCUGUGUUCCAGCUGGGGAUGUGUCAUUACUCAUUUUGAUAAGGACAGUGGCACGCAAAGUCAAGACCAGAGGAAGGACUGCUG
rnacentral:lncRNA from 1 species